GAACCCGCAGACUCUUGGGUGGUGGUGUCCAGGGGGCUGGAAAUCCCAGCAGCCCCGAUGGUGAUUGGGUGCCCGUGUCCCACUAUGGGCAGUGGCAAUGGCAGCAGAGACUGAAAAUGGGGAAGGUGCUCCGGAUGGUGCCAAGGGUGUCCUGAACGCUUUCUUCAAAGGCCCAGCGCAUGAUGACGAGAGCACACGCUGCAGGGUGGGAUGCUGGCACAUGGUUAAGAGAGUAGAUCCUAAGAGUUCUCGUCACACGGGGAAAACUUUUUCCGUGUUGCCACCUGCUUUUUUCUCUUUCCCCGUUUCUUAAUUUUUUCUUUUGGUUUGGUGUCUAUGUGAGGUAAUGGGCAUGCCCUGAGUGUGCUGUGGCCAUCACUCCACAGCACACAUAGGCGAAGGCAUUGCUCUGUGCACCCUAAACAGAGUGCUGCCUGACAAUCCCAUCUCAAUAAAACUUGGGAGACACUGUAUCUUCAUGCCCUCCUGCUCGGGGACAAGUGACAAGUGUCACCGGGGACGUGUGCAUGCAUGAUGCCCAUAGCUCUAAACCGUAACUGAGGUGGGUGUACGGGUCCCUUUUGGUGAAAGAGCUGUGUCCCUGGGCUGGUCUGGGGGUGCUAGCCCCCAAGCACUUUUUGAAGCCUGCUGAAGACUGGCCAAAUGGGUGUGCUUGCCAAGUUCAGCGGGCCCCUGCAGGCCAAGAGCAACUCCCAGCAACGGGGCAAUUCUGUUGCCAGCUGACACUUGCUCAUAGAGCCGCCAGAUCUCUCCCCAUCUGCAGACUCCACGUCCCCCUUUGUCGGACUUAUACGCUUACCCCCACUUGGCCCCUUGUAUUUCUUGUCCCAGGUGACGUGCGGGUCAUAAGUCAGUGAAUGGGGAUGAUGGGCAAGCUAGCGCACACCUUCCUGUUGGGACUGCGAUCUCCUCCAAAGAGGUCUCUGGACCACUGGCUUAGGUCACACAGGGGCCUAGAAUGUUGGUGCUGGUUGUGAUCAACUCUGUUGUGACUUGGGAUUUCUUUUCCUCUUUCGAUUUUGCAUCUCAGUUACAGUUCUACAGCAGCCCCUUGUUUAAGGGAGCCUGCUCUCACCUCCUCGUGAGGAUGAAGAGGAGAGUGGGCAUUAAAUCUGGGUUAAGGCAGGUGGAGAGCAAGCCCGAAGCCCUGGGAAUUCCCCCAGCACCUGCAGCCACUGAACGACCAGAGGAACUCCCCACCUCUAAUGAGGACAAGUGGGAGCCGGUCCAUUCCACGGCGGUUUGGACUGCCGUUGUUUCCCAGAAUACCUGCCAUCUACUGAUAGCCACCAGGGUACCCCGUCUACGCACACUACAACCCCUGCAGGUGAUCAUUUUGUCAGAAAACAGGCAGGUCAAUAAAAUGUAUCAGAAAAGGAGCCAUUUUCUGCUGAACCCAAGUGCUCCUGGCCCCUGUGAUGUUUCUUUCUUAGCAGUGGGGUAGCCCUCUUUCGCUUGUGUGCUAGAGAAUUCAGUGGAAUACCGCUCCUGGCAUAAUGCAGCACCGAGUAGAUAGUCAGUUAAGCCCCUCCGAUGUUCACCAUCCACUCGUUAAAGAGGCCCUUUAAGGCACUGGACAGGUCCAAGAACCUAGCAUCAGUGGCCUAAGGAUAACAGUGGCAAUGUUUUCCUGGCCAUCCAGGCACAUUUCCCUGUCCUCUUGGUGCCCAUAGAUAGCAGGAUCUUCAGUUUAUACAUGAGAAGAGAUCAAGUCUCACCUCAUAAGAGGGCUAAAAUGUGCCCUCACUGUUCUCCAGCACCCAGAUGUGGGUGUGGACAGUCGCUGCCAGAGUCCCACAGUUUUCCAGUCUGAGAGGCUGCUCCCUGGUGCCUGGAAGACAGGAUUUAUGUUCAGCUUUCACUGCAGGUACAGUUUCUUGUGAAUUUUUCCUUUUCUUUCUUUUCUUUUCUUUUCUUUCCCUUUUGAACUAAAUAUUUCAAGGCAUCAUGGUUCCACGUGGGAAGAAACCUCUGGUUGCUGGGCCGUCCAGCUUGUAAAUAAUGCACGCUCUUCUCGAGGACCGCUUUAAAGAGUGUUGGUCUUAAGGAGCAUAGGAAGCAAGCGUCCACGCUCUCACCAUGGCAAUAAUUGGGCAUAGACACCAGACAGGCUCCAAAAUCAGGUGGAGGGGGAACGUCUGCACAAGCAGCCAUCCGCCAGAACCCAAAGACACCGACCCCUCUCCUUUAUUUUCCACCAGACAGCAGGUGAGAGUCCCCCUGAGGAGGAAGAGCCCAUAAAGGAUGGACACAUGGCAGUGGAGGAUGCAGCCCCUGUCAUCCCGAGUUUAGCGCUAAUCUGACUGCAGCACAUCUGUCCUGUCCCCACCUGCUCCCUUAUAAACUGAUGCUGCCAAAUGGGUUCUUGUCCCCUUUCUAAGAUUCAGUAGCCUGUGAACUCCUUAGCUCUUAAAAGGGACGGUUUGGACUUCCGUAUGCCUCUU
rnacentral:lncRNA from 1 species